rnacentral:rRNA from 1 species
GACGAACGCUGGCGGCGUGCUUAACACAUGCAAGUCGAGCGGAAAGGCCCUUCGGGGUCCUCGAGCGGCGAACGGGUGAGUAACACGUGAGUAACCUGCCCCAGACUUUGGGAUAACCCUCGGAAACGGGGGCUAAUACCGGAUACGACACAGCUUCGCAUGGGGUCUGUGUGGAAAGUUUUUCGGUUUUGGAUGGGCUCGCGGCCUAUCAGCUUGUUGGUGGGGUGAUGGCCUACCAAGGCGACGACGGGUAGCCGGCCUGAGAGGGCGACCGGCCACACUGGGACUGAGACACGGCCCAGACUCCUACGGGAGGCAGCAGUGGGGAAUAUUGCACAAUGGGCGGAAGCCUGAUGCAGCGACGCCGCGUGAGGGAUGACGGCCUUCGGGUUGUAAACCUCUUUCAGCAGGGACGAAGCGUAAGUGACGGUACCUGCAGAAGAAGCGCCGGCCAACUACGUG